rnacentral:rRNA from 1 species
GAUGAACGCUGGCGGCGUGCCUAAUACAUGCAAGUCGAGCGAACGGACGAGAAGCUUGCUUCUCUGAUGUUAGCGGCGGACGGGUGAGUAACACGUGGAUAACCUACCUAUAAGACUGGGAUAACUUCGGGAAACCGGAGCUAAUACCGGAUAAUAUUUUGAACCGCAUGGUUCAAAAGUGAAAGACGGUCUUGCUGUCACUUAUAGAUGGAUCCGCGCUGCAUUAGCUAGUUGGUAAGGUAACGGCUUACCAAGGCAACGAUGCAUAGCCGACCUGAGAGGGUGAUCGGCCACACUGGAACUGAGACACGGUCCAGACUCCUACGGGAGGCAGCAGUAGGGAAUCUUCCGCAAUGGGCGAAAGCCUGACGGAGCAACGCCGCGUGAGUGAUGAAGGUCUUCGGAUCGUAAAACUCUGUUAUUAGGGAAGAACAUAUGUGUAAGUAACUGUGCACAUCUUGACGGUACCUAAUCAGAAAGCCACGGCUAACUACGUGCCAGCAGCCGCGGUAAUACGUAGGUGGCAAGCGUUAUCCGGAAUUAUUGGGCGUAAAGCGCGCGUAGGCGGUUUUUUAAGUCUGAUGUGAAAGCCCACGGCUCAACCGUGGAGGGUCAUUGGAAACUGGAAAACUUGAGUGCAGAAGAGGAAAGUGGAAUUCCAUGUGUAGCGGUGAAAUGCGCAGAGAUAUGGAGGAACACCAGUGGCGAAGGCGACUUUCUGGUCUGUAACUGACGCUGAUGUGCGAAAGCGUGGGGAUCAAACAGGAUUAGAUACCCUGGUAGUCCACGCCGUAAACGAUGAGUGCUAAGUGUUAGGGGGUUUCCGCCCCUUAGUGCUGCAGCUAACGCAUUAAGCACUCCGCCUGGGGAGUACGACCGCGAGGUUGAAACUCAAAGGAAUUGACGGGGACCCGCGCAAGCGGUGGAGCAUGUGGUUUAAUUCGAAGCAACGCGAAGAACCUUACCAAAUCUUGACAUCCUUUGACAACUCUAGAGAUAGAGCCUUCCCCUUCGGGGGACAAAGUGACAGGUGGUGCAUGGUUGUCGUCAGCUCGUGUCGUGAGAUGUUGGGUUAAGUCCCGCAACGAGCGCAACCCUUAAGCUUAGUUGCCAUCAUUAAGUUGGGCACUCUAAGUUGACUGCCGGUGACAAACCGGAGGAAGGUGGGGAUGACGUCAAAUCAUCAUGCCCCUUAUGAUUUGGGCUACACACGUGCUACAAUGGACAAUACAAAGGGCAGCGAAACCGCGAGGUCAAGCAAAUCCCAUAAAGUUGUUCUCAGUUCGGAUUGUAGUCUGCAACUCGACUACAUGAAGCUGGAAUCGCUAGUAAUCGUAGAUCAGCAUGCUACGGUGAAUACGUUCCCGGGUCU